CCGAGGCCCUUCCAGGAUCCCUGGAACCAAUCCUGGAGCCCUCAGUUCUCCUUCCCCCAGGUCCAGGGAAGGGAAGCUAACAUUUAUUGAGCACCUGAUACUCACUGGGCAUUUCCCAGGUAUGAUGUCAUGCAAUCAUCACAGCAACCCUUCCGUCUGCACAAGAUCUCUAAGGGAGCCCACAGCCUCAGUCUUUCCCCCACGAGUGGAAAUGCCACUGCAGGCCCCAUCUGGACACAAGCAACGAGAUGCCAACCUCCAGAUUCAAGUUUCUUCGGAUUUUUUUUAAUUAUAAUUAUUAUUUUAAUAACAACCUGAAUCCCAGAA